rnacentral:tRNA from 1 species
GGGGUUGUAGCUCAGUGGUAGAGUACUUGCCUUGCAUGCAUGAGACCCUGGGUUCAAUCCCCAUCACCA